GGAUGUGAGGGUGUGCUGGCUGCGACAUCUGUCACCCCGUUGAUUGCCAGGGUUGAUUCAGCUGAUCUGGCUGGCUAGGCGGGUGUCCCCUUCCUCCCUCACCACCCCAUGUGCAUCCCUCCCAAAGUUGUGCACUCGGUCGAAGAGGACGACCAUCCCUGGUAGAGGAGGACCAUUCUUUGGUAAAGGGUAUAUGAGUAGCUGCACUCCCCUGCUAGAACCUCCAAACAAGCUCUCAAGAAAACAAAAAAAGAGCACAGGAUCAUGGUGGUCCUGUCACUGACUUCAGUUUCUAUGUGAAGAUUUGAUUAUGU
rnacentral:snRNA from 1 species